rnacentral:lncRNA from 1 species
GUCCCUGUCCCGAGGGGCAGGUUGUGGAGGGGCAGUGGUCCAAGCACCUCUUGUACAGGCCACGAAUGGCGGCGGCAGCGCCUUCAGCGACUACUCGUCCUCAGUCCCCUCCACCCCCAGCAUCAGCCAGCGGGAGCUGCGCAUCGAGACCAUCGCUGCCUCCUCCACCCCCACACCCAUCCGAAAGCAGUCCAAGCGGCGCUCCAACAUCUUCACGCUAAUGAACCGGCGGCCGGAAGGCUGUUUGCCCAAGGCGACACAGAGGGUUAGCUGGCCCAGCUAGAGUCAGAGCCCAGGCCUCCCCGUCGCCUUCCGGCUCUUUUUCCGUUACCCCACUGCCGAGGGGAAAAUUCAUGCUUUCCACCCACCGCUGUGAUUGGUUUAACAAAGGCUUAGCCAUCUUUUCCUGGGCUUCACCACGCUGCCUCGUU